rnacentral:lncRNA from 1 species
CAAUCUUAGUUACUUUAGACAAAGGUGAAUUUGAUGCAAUUCCAUGAAAUUACACUUUGCACCCUUGCGAAGACGUUAGUGGAGCAUGUGUGGUUAACCGACACACUAAAUGGGCUCUAAGCAAAGGUGGCAAAGGGUGACUUGAUGUUUGUCAUAGUUUGAUGGAGUGUGUGUGGUUAACCGGAACAUCGAAUAAGUGACUGUAACAUUGGGGGCGCCAUGUAAGUUUGCAUGGUUAUUCACACCCUGUUUUGUGAUCCUCGGCAUCCUAGUCACAAAUUGAGGGGCAUAUCGAGAUUUAAACAUGUCAUUGAAAAGUUCAAUGAAUCUCAAAGGAUCUAGGAUUUUUCAAUACAUUUAAAAUUUAAUCUCUUUUUCGUUUUUCAUGAUGGAAAAUUUGUGAAUCGUCAUUGACUUACCUUCAAAUGUCUGCAAUUUGGGUUACGGCAUCCCUCUCCCAAGUUGUAGAGCAUUGUGUUGGGUCCUAGCCUUAAUAUCUCAUUUGGGUAUUUUAUUAAGGACUCAAUCAAUCAACUAAAUUGAAUUUCCUCCCGUUUUGUAGUUGUCAAAGUAUGACAACUAUGGUCUUUCCAAAUCCCGUGGAACAAGCUUUCCACAUGAAGAUGAUAUUCCACGAUUUGAUCGAGGAACACAAGUUCAUGCUUUACUUCCUCCACCUCCUCCUAUUGGUCUCCCUAACCCACAAGUUCAAAGGCUUGAAAAGUUCAAGCUCACUCAAGCCAUUUUUGCAAGUAAACAUGAAGAAGGAAAGUCAGUGUGUGCACACGUAUUAGAGAUAAAGUCACACAUUGAUAGGUUAAGAAUGUUGGGAGUCGUUGUCUGUGAGGAGCUGGAUGUUGACUGGGUUCUUUAGUCGCUUCCUAACUCAUAUAGUGAGUUCGUAAGAGAGUACUAUAUGAUAGACGACGACACAACCCUCAUCGAUCUCACCUAUUUGCUUAUUGCUGUUGAAUCAACAAUGAUUUGGCGCAUUAGAGAAGCAAAGUUGAUUGGUGGAUCUACCUUCCAAACCUCUAUGGACAUAGGCAAUGGCAACGAAAGGCAUGCCAUGGUCGAAAAGUUUGAUCAUAAGAGAAAGGCAAAGUCUAAAGUAGUUCCGUGUGCUGUUCCAAAAGAGUCAAUUUACUUUUAUUGCCAAGAGAAGGGGCAUUGGAGACGAAGCUACCCAGUCUACCUAAGAGAUCUAAGAGAUGGGAGAAUCAAUACGUUUGGCUCUACUUCAGGUAAAAUCCACUAUCUAACUCCAUUAAGCUCCUAUUCAUUGAUUCUCAAUACAUAAUGUGAUAAGAUUACAUUUGAAUGUUUUGUAGGAUCAUAGAAAAGAGAGGAAGCUUAAUGGAAGAGCAAGAUAAGUCUGAUCACGAAGAAAUGGAUCACGAUCGCAUGGAUUCAAAGAUCAGAUUUUGAGCUUAGACUGUUAUGAUAGACUUGUUAGGAAUAUUUGAUUACAUAGUUUUUCAGUUGAUUUUGCACUGUAAGGACAUGUUUUCCGCUGCUUUUAUGAAUAAAAUAAAUUUUUUGGUUUGUCUUAAUUAUAUAUAACCUUGCAAUGAAAUCGUUGUGAAAAAUUGAUGUUCGUGUAUUUCUAUAAAUGGAUGUGAUUCUUAGUUAUGUUAUUUAUGGAAGUGUCAAAUUUCUCUAAGUAAGGAAAGAUUCCCAUCGCCCAAGUUUCAGUUGGACAGAAGUUUGGAAUCAUAUGAUUUGAAUCAUGUGAUGUACGGAAAUCUUGGUACUUAGGAAAUUAAGACUAAUUCCUUGAUCACACAAGUAUGCGAGUCAAGUAAAGGACUAAAGGACUAGAACACAAUCUUGUGCACUAGUCAAGUCCACCACAAAUAACAAUAAGACUAUUCGUCAUAAUUUACUAAAAGUCUAGUAAAUGUGGUUAUACUUACAAGAUUAAGUGUAAUUUUGGAUCAUUGAAAAGUUUCAAUGAAUGGCAGAACGAAUGAGAAGAAUCAAUGAAGGCAGAAAGAUAAAAGUUUCUCCAAUCUAAGAAGAAGGGAGAGUACUUUUGUAUCGGGAUUUAUGAUCAUCUUAAUGAUUAAGAACCAUAUCACAAUUGAUCCUCUACGGACAUCUUAGUGCACUGGUAUGGCUAAGAAGAUGAAUCAGAAAUUGUUGAAUUGGUUAAAUUAAAAGGAUGAGUCAUACUUCGUUCCAAAAUCAAGUCUUAGAGUCAUACUCCAAGAUUGUGAAUUGAGUGACACAUCUUAAAAAGUUCUAACACACUCAUCAAAUGUGAAGUAGAAAAUUGUUUUUUCUUACUCUUGCACAUUUGAAAUUGGUAAAUUAUGAUGUCUUAGAUAAGACAAGGACCAACUAAUACCAAUUGUAUGUAGUGUUUGUCUUGAUAAGGAUCCGCACUAACUCUUGAAUAUUUGUUUGUCAAUAAAUGUUUUCUUGACAAGAGAAUCUUAUAUGUCAAGAGGUCAGUGGGAGUCUAAAUGAUCUUGAAAAGAUUCAAGAACUAAUCAAGAGUAAACCUAUUAUUAAACACUAGCAGACGACUUUAAGGUUUGUAACCUAACGUGUUGACAUAUUCUUGUUUCUGUGCCAAUCCAGUUGAGUUGAUUAUGCAUAUGAAUUCUAUGAGUUCUCAAUAGACUGCAUAAGGCAAGCACCUUGUUCAAUGAAAGUACAUUGAAUGGUAUAGGUGAGCUGCUAAAUAACUUGGAAGAAAUGGUGGGACCCUUGAUGGCAAGAACUUAAGAAUGAACAAGUUCAGUCCAUAAGAGUUUGAAUUCGUCACAAACAUUGAAACAACCCAAAAACAUAGUCUGAAAAUUUCGUUUAAUUAAAUAAUAAAAACCAUAGUCGAUAAACCUCAUAUAAAAAUCAUAAGCAAUGUAUCUCAAAAUAUUAUAACAACUAUCAAGUAUAUCAGAGUAUAAACAUCUCAGGCUGAACAAAUGGUGUGUGCACUGCAAUCUUCCCGAACUCCUGUUUUGAAAACUGAGUACCUGAAACCAAAACUGAAAACUGUAAGCACGAAGCUUAGUGAGUCUCGCCAAACUACCACAUACCAUAGAAUAACAUAUAAAGCACAUAUUGGGCCUUGCCCACUGCAUCGGACUGAAGUCCGUAAACUGCAUCGGACCGAAGUCCGGAACUAACCAGGGCCUUGCCCUCUGCAUCGGACCGAAGUCCGGAAACUAACCAGGGCCUUGCCCUCUGCAUCAGACCGUAGUCCGGAAACUAACCAGGGCCAUGCCGUCUGCGUCAGACCGAAAUCCAGAAACUACAUCGGACCGAAGUCCGGAAACUAAUAAAGAGCCUUGCCCUCUGCAUCGGACCAAAGUCCGGAAACUGAGUGAACAUAGCAUAGCAUAAUCAUAACUACUAGCAUAAAAACAUAUACUGCAUACGACCGAAGUUCGGAACAGAUAACACAAAAACAUGCUUGAAUCAUAAAGACAUCAAGCACACUUAACUACUGCAUCGGACCGACGUCCGGAACUACUGCUGACUAAACGGGUCGACAUUGUGGCCGUAGACUCGUUCCUACUAGAAGGAAACUCACCUCACACUGCUGAAGUCCCGCAGACUCAAUCCCACACUACUGAAGUCCCGCAGACUCGACCUCAGCUGCUAAAUGACAGAUUCCCGAUCUGUCAAAAUCAAAAUAACACCCAAUUAAUAAUUGGGUUCCACUACAUAACUAUAAUUACAUACUUUGGAUAAUUACUACAUUACCCCAAGCUUGGCUUACCCAAGCCCAAGGUCCAAUCCAUAGGCCUAAAGUCAACUAGGGAUCAAAGCCCAACAUAUGGCCCAAUUUUCCAAAUUGGGCCCAAACCUCUACAUGGGCUUCCCUUAAGGCCUAAUUGUCCAAUCCAGUCCAACAUGUCCCAUUCUAAGGGCCCAAUAUCAUACAACCCUCUAGGCCCAAACUAUGGCCCAAUUUUCCAAAUAGGGCCCAAUCUUCCAUUUGGGCCUUACCCUAAAGCCCAAUUAAUUACCCUAGUCCAUUUGAUUAUUCUUGGAUGGCCGCCCAUUAAUAACCCAAUCAUUAAGGCCCAAUAAUAUACCCAAGUGAAAUUAGGGUUUCUCAUAAAAUGACGAUUAGGGUUAAGUGUUUCUUACUUAACCCAUUAGGGGCUUAACCCACUAAGUACUUAAUCCAUUAAGUCCAUUAUUGCUUAGAUUAAUUUCUGCCAAUGAUUAUUAUUUAAUAUUUCACUUAUUAAAUAAUUCUCAUGUGCGACCUAAUAAAUUCUCAAAUAUUAGGAUUUUCUUCAUUAGCCCAUUAAGGACUUGAUCCAUUAAUUCCUUUACUCUACUAGAUACAUGGCAUGGAAUAAUUUGGGGUUAAUUCACAAUCUAAUCGCAAUGGCCCACAAGUGGGCCCAAUAAGUUUAAGGCCCACUAAUUAUAAUUAAGGUUUUCCACCCAAACAUGGCCCAAUAGAACCAAAACCAAUAUUUAAGCCCAUUCGGGUUUGCUAGCGGGGCACCACCCACUGCUACCUCGGGUAGUGGUGGUUGAUGGUGGCUCACGGCGGCGGCCACCACCUUACGGUGGUGGUUAUUAUUAUUUUUAUUAUUAACCAAAGCGAAUUACAAUUACAAUGUUAAAUCCAAACAUAAACAUACACACACACACACACUAACACACACACACAACCACACCAUGGUGGCCAGCAGCGGUGCUUGGCGGCACCCACCACCUCACGUUGGUGGCGAUUUCUUCUUUUCAGAUUCCGGCCAAAGAUUCCUCAUUCACACACUACAUCACAUACACACUAAAAUAAACACCCACCGACAGCCAUUCAUCGAUCUUGAAAGAGGGAGUUGACGACGGCAGUAGCCACCAUGGCCGACUGCCAUGGUGGUUCCUCACGGUGGUCUUCAGCUUCAUGCAAUAUCGAGCGACGACGGAUGGGGUGAAUGGAAAACAAAUAACAACGGCAACAGUGGUUUGCAUCAACAUCCACUCCCGGUGGUGCACAACAACAACAGUAGGAGCGCUAUCGACAACAACAACGACCCUCUCGACAGCUUCUUCUCCACCGGUUGUAGACACGGUGAAUGUGACUGGUCUCGGCGGUCUCCCAGCCUCAACAUCGUGGCAAUGUAACAGUAGCCUUCGUCGGCAGCAAGGCUGUGGUAGAGUUUCUAUAAUGAGGCAGUAGCCGGCAGUGACAACCUCAACGGGGUGGCGGAGCGACGCCGAAAGUCGCGAGAGUGUGGAGGUGGCGGAACCGAGCUAUCGGACUAGGUGUUGCUCCGGCGGCUGAUGAGGGUUUCCUUGGUGAUGACGAUGGUAAUAAGAGAAGGGGAGUAUGUCGGCUACAAUAGUCCUUAGGGUUUGGGUUUAGUUAAACCUUUAUACCCGACUCCACUCCAUAAUUUUCCAUAAUGGAAAUAACAGCCCCUCCAUGCCCCUUUUUAUUCAAAUGUAAUCCAGAAGUUACCAUUUAAGUCCCUGCCCAUAAAAAUCUUUACAAGUUAAAUCUGAAAUUUACCAACAACCCCCUUACUCCAUAAAAUCUCUUCAAAUUAAGCCCCCAAAAAUUACCAUUUAGCCCUUACCUUCAUAAAUAUUUACAAAACUAAUCUGGGACUUACACUUUUAACCCCCAACUUUUAAAAUUCUUCACAAAUUAGUCUGGGACUUAUAUUUAUUAAUUUAUUUAAAUAACCGGGGCGUUACAAACAUUAUCUUAUGAUUAUGCUUAUGUCAAAUUCACAUGGAUAGGAACAUAUACACCAUAAAAUCUAAGUAUCAUAAGGUUUCUCUCAUUCAUGAAAAUGAUUGUGAGGAAACGCUUUCACUAAGAAAGAUUUUCACACUUGUUGCUAUACUCUUCCUAAAGCUUCCUAAAGUCUUUGGUUUUUGCUUCUAAAUCAGCCUCCAGGGGUUUUUGUCCUUUCCUAAGUUGAUAUCCUUCGUAUUUUAGGUCCUUGACUUCCCUUUUUAGCAAAUCAUUAUGUUCACGAAGAAGUUUAAUCGUAUAUUCACAAGAUGGAGUACAUGAAACUUCAUUGAGCAGGAUGUUUGUAGAACUCAUUGUUUUUUCACACUUCAAAGCAUCAAGCUCUUCAAUUACAUCAGCAAUACUAAGACGAUUGAGAUCUUUUGUCUUCUUGAUGACAGCUAUGUUCAUAUCCCACGAUUUCGGAAGUGAAUUCAGUAGCUUUUUGUUUAUCUCAGAUUUGGUCAAGAAGAUCCCAUCUAUAUUCAUCUCAGUAGUGAGUGUGGUAAAUCGCUGCAACUGAGCUUCCAGGGUUUCUCCGGGAAUGUAGUUGAACAUGUUGAAAUUUUGUCUUAACAUAUCCUGACGAUUCUCUUUCAUGUCUUCAAUUCCCUUGUUAACCUCAAAAGCCAUUAAUAGCACAAAUCGAAGCUAAAAUAAAACUUAAUAGUCAAAUUUAAAAAUGGCCUUUGACUAUAAACCUCAAAGUCAACCUUAAAAGUCAAAUUUAAAAAGUCAAACUCAAAAUUCAAACCUGAAAAAGUCAAACCGAAAAGCUAAAUUUGAAAAUUUAAAAGUCAAACGAGAAAGUCAAAGUUUAAAGUCAAAGGUCAAAGUUUAAAGUCAAAGUCAAUUUCUGAAGACAAAAGUCAAAAAUAAAAGUCAAAAAUUAAAAACUAUAUUUUAUUACUAUUAUUAUUAUUAUUAUUAUUAUUAUUAUUAUUAUUAUUAUUAUUAUUAUUAUUAUUAUUAUUUAGAUGAAAAAGAAAUUUUAAAAUAAAAGAAAUUUAAUUUUGGGGUUAAAAGUGACAAAAUUUCGAAACUGGAUGUUACAGGGAGUGAUUUUGAAUAAAAUUUCGAAGGUUUAAACCAAAAAGGAGCUUGGUUCAAGUGGUAAGACGCGUUGUUGAAGAACCUGAGGACCUGGGGUCGAACCCCGAUACCCUCAAAUUCACGUCCUAAUUUUUGUUGAGCGCUGCUUCAAGCUGUAAACCAAGCUGCGCCGCCGAGCCGUCCUAAACCAAGCCGCGUUGUCGAGCCGUCCUCAAAGCCGUAAACCACUGGCCGUAAACUUCGGUCAGCCGCAAACUCCGGCCGGAAACUCCCCAGACCGUAAACUCCUCGCAGAUUACGUGAAAAACGACAUUUUUCACCCAUUUUUGCUCCAAAACUCGAUCAAAAACUCAUUUUUAUCAAAGACACGAAGAACACCCCCCCUAAUUUUCAGAGAUCUAUCCAAAAACGCAAGAAUCCUUCAAAAAUAAGAUCAAAUAAGCUCUAGAUCUGACAAAAUUGACUGAUACAAUCCAAGCUUUGAUACCAAUUGUAAGUGCCUAAUCUGCUUGUGUAUCAAUCAGUUCCGUUUGUUGGUGUAGAAUCCCAAUCAAACGGAUGAUGUCGGAUCAAAUAGAAGAGAAGGAGAAGAAGAAGAUGAUGAAUCUUGUAUGUAUUGAUAUGAAUGAAGAUCCGGAUACAAGAUUCACACACACUCUCUUUUCUCUCUCUAGAACACCUUGGGGUUCACACACUUAAGCUCUCCUCUAUUCUUUUUCUCAUCCCUCUACUCCUCAUCCCUUACACCUUUAUUUAUAGGGAACAUGGGCUUGGUGAACAUGGGCCAUGAAUGGGUUUACGGCAGUAAACCUGUUCACGGCCGUAACACAACCGUAAACACGUAUACGGCCGUAAACACCAAGCUGUUUACGGUCCAAGACACAAAAAUACAUUUUCCUAGAAAACUAAAGUAUAAACCAUAUUUUGACCCAACACAUGGCAUCGAGUCUUCCUCAUCUCCUUAUCAGUCACAUACUGGGGCACCAAAAAAGCCCUCUCCCUGAACAUGGCGGUGAUCUUUGCCAUAAUCUCGGUUGUCUGCCUCAUGUCAAGAAACUCUCUAGCUAACUGUUGCACCUCAAUAGUUGGUGCAAACUCUGCACGAAACCUGGUCAUAAAAUCCGGCUAGGUCAUGGCCUCAAUGGUUGGGGAUCCCAAAGCAUUGCCGACCUCCUCCCACCAAUCUCGGGAUCACUCUCUUAGACAACGCGCAACAAAUCUCACCUUCGACCCAUCGUGGCAGAAGCUUGUCAUCUGGGCACACUCAAUGUAAACUAUCCAACACCAAGUUAUAAUUGGGUCCUUCACCCUAAUGAAAUCUGGUGCCCCACAUCCCCUGAAAUCCUUGAAAGAGAGUGUGCGGGUCCCAAACUGGCUAGCGACCAGAUUGACCCUAAAAAUCCAAAGUCUAUCCUCCAUAAACUCCAUGAUACCUUCCUUGAUCGACCCGAACAUCACCUGGGUUGCAUUAAGGAUGCCUAUAGUAAUCUUAAACGCAAUGAACUCUCGUAAGGCCUCAUCAAUUGGUUUGGAACUUGUGCCCGAACCAGAUCCAGAUCCUAAACCCCCCGCUCGACGACGUGUCAUCACCAUUCUAAAAUAUAACCACAUAAACCAUUAGCAAAAAUACACGAGAAGGUCCACACUCUCGACUUCCUUAGAUUCGUCGUGAUCUUCCUGGCCUCGGGUGUAAAUCCUAUGCUUUCAGUAGUAUGGGCCCAAUACUACCUUCCACACCUAUUUAUACCCUUCUCUAGGACUACCUCGACUCGUCCAAGUCACUCUUCCCAACUAAUAUAUUCUUCAAUCUAUAAGGUAUUAUACACCCAAAGCAUCUCACAGUGACUCACUAAGACUCCCUUCCUCAUCCCUCUCUCCUAGCAGCUGUAAAAGGAUCUCCCACAAGUACUACCUAACUACUACAUGAACACAACCACAUACUACUAGUACCAGAUAACUAUUCGAAUGAUAGGUCCCACUCUACAACGGUUGGACUCAAACAAGAGCUACACAAUAGAGUUAAACAUGUUGUAACGCCCGUAGAUUAGGCUUUCUGAUGAAAGAUUAUUUAGAAUGAGUAAUCUUAAUUAAGUUAUAUUAUAUGUUACAAGGAUUCCGUAGAUAUAAAGAAAGCCAAAAUCCGAGUUAUAACGAAGAAGUUAUGACCUGUCGAAGUUUCUCGACAAAACCGGCACGACACAGCGCGACGUAAAAAGUGAAUUUACGUUAGAGCGAUAUUUAGCCUUAGCAAUCUAAACAAAAGUCAUAGAAUACGUUAAAACCGUGAGCGUGCAUAAAAAGAACGUCCAAAUCUGACUUCGUAUGAGGAAGUUAUGAUUUUUCUAAGUUUCGACUUAGCGGUAUGCAGCCCGAAUACUCGAUUUGAGAUCGAGCGGUUUUUAGCUGAAACAAUCUAAACGAGAAUCGAAGAUCUUGUUAAUAGUAUUGAAAUGAUAAAAAGAUAGGUGAAAACGGACGUCGGAUGAAGAAGUUAUGAAUUUAUAACGGAGUUUUCCUGUCCCGGCCUACUAAAAUAAUAUAAUAAAAAUAAAUUCAAAAUUAGCCGACGGUGUCUAAACGAAAGUUGUAGAGCGUAGUCUCACCUACACGUGGAUAUAAAGAACGUUGAAAACGGAGUUCGUAUGAGGAAGAUAUGAAUUUUUGAACUUUAUUAAAUAAUAAAGUAUUUAAUUUAAUUAUAAAAUCCGAUAUUAUCCAAGGGGGGAGUCACCGGGCUUAUCGAGGUUACGCCCAUCGUAACCUAAGAUUACGCCCGACGUAAUUUAGGUUUCAGCCCCCUAUAAAAGGAAGUCGAGGGCAGCCGAGUUCUCUGCUCAUUUCUUCCCUUUCUCUCGCGUUUUUGCAUCGUUUUUCGUGCAAGAAAUAUCCCGAAGCCCUGGUAUCAUUCCCGAGCCCCGAAGCAAGUCCCGAGGCCCCGAAGAUCCUGAGAAGUGAAAUUCCCGAGCCUAAGCUCUGCCCGCGAGGAGCCCGGUUUUUGUGAAGAUCUUCCAGAUCUACCGAAGAAUACUACUUUUACAAGCCGUAGUGCUGUCCGAUCAUCUUCUGAUCAAGUGAGUGUAUAGUUACUUUCUUCUAACACAUAAAUAUAAAGUAUUAGCUAUGAAAUACGUGCUAUGUGUUAUAUAUUAUUUGUCUAUUUGAGAUGGGCUUGGAAUUGAUGUUUUUAUACGGGUGUUAAAUGAUUUAAACUGUAUAUGUAUUUUAUAUCUACAAAAUAUGUUGGGUAGAACAUGGGUAGAUGAAAUAGUGGCGACUAUGAGACAUAGUGCUUAUUGAGUAAAGCCUUGGUGACGAUGCGACUUCGUGCCUAUUUGAUAAACCUUGGUGACGAUGUGACUUCGUGCCUAUUGAGUAAACCCUGGCGACUAUGUGACUUAGUGCCUAUUGAUAAACCUUGGUGACGAUGUGACUUCGUGCCUAUUGUAUAAACGUUGGCGACUAUGGAGUUAGCAGUUGUUGAGUAAACCUUGGUGACUAUGGAGUUAGCGCCAGAUAGCUAUGGAUUUAGUAUUUGAUAGAUAAACUUUGGCAGCAAUGGACUUCGUGCCAAUUGCUUAGGAAUGAAUGAAUGAAGGAUAGUGGAUUCUUAGGGUAAACCCUUGAGAAAAUAAGGGAGAUAUGGGGAUGGGUAUUUGGGUUGAUUGUUUAAUAAUUGAAUAUAAUAAAUGUAUUAUUGUGGGUUGAAAACCCUAUAUGCUCACCAGGCUCCCAAGCCUGACCCACUCAGUUUUCUUUGCAUUACAGGUAAUGGCACAAGGGUAUAAGUUGGUGGACUUGACGAGAGAUUUUGGAUUAUAGAUCAGUAGUUAUAAAUAACUACUGUAAGGUUUAUUUUAUAUUGUUUAUUCUUUUGGUCUGUAUCGAACAUGACAUCCCGAGGUUUUUAUAUUUAAUGAAAAUACAUUCUCUUUGAGAAAUGUUUGGAUAAAUGGUUAUCAUAUUUUUGUUUUUGGGAACAAAUUCCGCAACAGUUUUCUUUAAACGAUUACUCUGAUUUUAAAAACAAAGCAUAAACAAAUCGGUCUUUUCUGGCCGUGAAAUUGGGGAUGUCACAGUUGGUAUCAGAGCAUUAGUUUAAGCGAAUUAGGAAUUUGUAAGAUUUCUAGACUUAAACUUAGAAUGCUAAGCGAUGAUUGUGAGAUGGGGGUCUACCAUAUUUUAGACACGAGCACUAGUUUAUUUUAGGAAAAUUGCCUAAAAUGCUUUUAUGUGCUAAUUGUUAUAUGUUUGUCAUAUAUGAUAUUAUUUGUUCGGAUCUAUGGUCUGUUGCCGACCGGAUCUGGAAACCUUAUGUGUGUAGGAUUCUAAGCGUACGUCUAUGAUACUAGAACUAGCAUGUAAACGUUUCAGAGUGAUAAGGAUGAUUUGAAUAUCUUUCGUGAAUGAGGAUCUAAUUUCACCUUAUUCGGUGUAUAGAUCAAAAAUGGUGAGAACGAGGAGUGGAGUUGGAAAUGCUGAUGAAAACAGGAAUCAAAUACCAGUGAUUGAGCAAAUACCUGUUGUAGCAGCUGCACCUGAACCAAUGAGAAUGGCCGGAGUUCAAGUGAUGAUCCAGGCAAUGUUGGAUCAUUAGAUGGAAGAAACCAGACGUCUGAUUAGGCAGAAUCGUGAAGAAUUGUCAAUUCAAGUUGAAGAGCCCGAAGUAAAUGGAGGGAAAUCUGAAGGAGGAAACUACAAUGGGACCGUUGGUCAAGCCAACCCACCAAUAGUUCUCCAAAACAACUAGGAUGGAGGAAAUGACGGACGUGGAUGCAAGUACAAGGAUUUCAUGGCAUCCAAACCACCGUGUCUUUCUGGGAGCCCGACACCGGUGCAAGUCAUGGACUGGAUCUCCGAGAUGGAGACAAUGUUCGAAAGUUGCGAGUGUAGCAACAGACAGAAGACCGCUCUUGCAAUUCCUCUGUUAAAAUCUGGAGUACUGAGCUGGUGGAAGUUACUAGCUGGUUCGAUGCCCAAGGGGGAAGCUAGCAAGAUGUCUUGGGAAGAGUUCGUGGUGCAACUGGAAAUGCAAUACUGCUCUUAGCAGGAUCUUCUGGAAAUUAACAAUGAAUUCCAGAAUUUGAAAAAGGGAAAAUUGAGCGUCACUGAGUACGCUACAAGCUUUACGGAGAAAAUGAAGCUUAUUCCAUACCUAAUUCCAACGGAACUUUCCAAGGUCAACAAGUUUGCCAAUGGAUUACCAGCGGACUUUGGUCUGAUAGUCAAACAAGCAACCACUCUGAAAGCCGCUAUCUGGACAGCCAUAAAUGUUGAGACCCAAAUAAAAGAAAAGGGUCUGGAGAGAGCUGAAGUUGGAGAGAAAAGGAAACAUGAAGGAUCUUCAAUGAUCAACAAAGAAACAAAAUUCUCAAAAUCUGGAGGAAGAGAUAAAGUUAAGUGGUGUGAGAAGUGUAAAAAGAAAUACUUCGGGAAGUGUAACGAGGAGACGACCUGCUACAAAUGUGGGAAGACAUGGCAUUUCACCAACAAAUGUGCAGCUAACAAAAAGGUGUGCUACGGAUGUAACGAAGAAGGGCAUAUUUCUAGAGACUGCCCAAAGAAAAACGCACCACCACAGCCAAGGGCAUUCCACAUGCUCCUCGACGAAGCAGAAAACGAUGGGAGAAUUAAAAGAUGAAGACUUCAUAUUAAUAUAUAAAGUCUGUAUCAGGAAGCAUAGCCUGUUAGAGGUAUAGUAUUGGGUGAACUUGAACUUUUGUGUAAUAGUUUCAAGAAUUAAUAUAAACCCUAGUAUUGUUAUCUGAUGUGUUGAAUGAUUAUAUGAUUUAUGUAUGGUGACUUGGUUAACUGCGAGACAAUACUUGGGAUGAGUAUGAGUAGGUGUGAAUGGUAGUAGAGAUAUAUACUACCGGAAGCACAGGAUUUACGCUUGGAUCAAGGAAUGUCACAAGGUUACCAAGAAGCUAGUGAUUGGUCACGUUUUAUUCAAGUAUGUCAUUACCAUUGUUUCGGUAAUGACUAGUAAUGUAACACCCAAGAUCAGAAAGUCCAAGAAAAGGAAAGAAACCUUAAGUCAAGGAGUGGACUCGUCGAGCCCAGGGAGGAACUCGACGAGUCGGAGCGGGAUCCGGGGGGUCGAGUAAGUGACCAACUCAGCAAGUUGGGUCUGAACGAGGAAACCCUAAUUUCUGGACUUGGUACCCUAUUUAAGCAUCUUAUUCUCUUCCCUAGGGCUCAUUUGCGGCCCAAUAGUCCAGAACCAGAAACCCUAAGCCUCCAUUGUUGCUAAUUCAAGCUUUCUUGCCAUUUUGGGUGAUUUGAAGGAAGAAGGAAGAAGGCACACAUUGGGGAUUCAAGAAUUGGCAGUAGAUCCAGAGUUUGUGAGGUCUUCCAGAGCAUUUGAAGGUAAUGAGUCAUUACCUUCCCUCUUUUGCUUAUAGAUCAACCUUUAUCAUGGGAUUUGGGGCUUUUAGGACAAGUUUAUGAACCAUUUCGAGUUAGAAGCCUAGAUCUGAAGUUGCUACUUCAGAUCUAUGUGUAUCUUGGCCUAGAGAAUCAUAAAACAUCAGUCUAUGGGUUGAUUGUUGAGCCCCUUUGUCUCAAACCCUAGUUUAGAGUGAUUUGAGCCUAGAUCUCGUUAGCUACACGUAAAGUUUGCCACUUUACGUAAGGAAUAGGCUUUAUAAGAGUGGAUCUACAGUUUGGAGUCCAUGCAUGACUCAAAAGUCCUCUGCAUGUAUGUAGAUCUGAAUGGACUCGGCGAGUCCUUCGAGUGGACUCGGCGAGUAGCUUGAAGAUGAGGAGGAACUCGACGAGUGGGAUGAACAGCUCGUCGAGUCGGAUGAAGUUAAGCAUGAACUCGGCGAGUUGGAAGAACAACUCGACGAGUUGGUUGAAGAUUGCCUUGGACUCGGCGAGUCUAUUAGUGGACUCGGCGAGUCAGGUCGCGAAACCUCAAACCCUUCGAGUUGAGACUCGAAUCAGUGAGUCGGGUGGUGACUCAGCGAGUUGGACAGGACAGGACUUGGAACUAGUUGGACUCGGCGAGUCAUAGACUGACUCGGCGAGUCGAGUCGCGAAUAGAAAGACCCUGAGCUUAUGAACUCGGCGAGUCAUUAGGAGGACUCGGCGAGUAGGGUUGACCUGGAAGGUUGACUUUGACCAGAGUUGACUUAGUUGACUGUCAGACUCAGUGUUAUAUGUAUAUUGAUAGCUCGGAGAGCUAGAGGAGCAGUGGUUCAGGGGAUUGUCGAGUAGCAGCCAGAGGUUUAUCAGCAGAGCUCAGCAGUUCAGGUGAGUUUCCUUUCAGUAGGAACGGGUCUAAGGCCACAAUGCCGGCCCGUUUAGCUAGCAGUAGUUUUCGGACUUCGGUCCGAUGUAGGGGACGAAUGUCCCAGUCAGCUUCGGACUUCGGUCCGAUGUAGUAGUUAGUAUGUUUGAUGCCUUCGUGGCUCAGACAGGGUUUAUGUGUUUAUGCUAGUUGAUAUGUUUAUGAUAUGUUCAGUCAGCUUCGGACUUCGGUCCGAUGUAGGGGACAGAGGUCCCAGUCAGCUUUGGACUUCGGUCCGAUGUAGUAGUUAGUAUGUUUAAUGCCUUCGUGGCUCAGACAGGAUUUAUGUGUUUAUGCUAGUUGAUAUGUUUAUGCUAUGUCCAGUCAGCUUCGGACUUCGGUCCGAUGUAGGGGACAAGGUCCCAGUCAGCUUCGGACUUCGGUCCGAUGUCAGCUUCGGACUUCGGUUCGAUGUAGGGGACAAGGUCCCAGUCAGCUUCGGACUUCGGUCCGAUGUCAGCUUCGGACUUCGGUUCGAUGUAGGGGACAAGGUCCCAGUCAGCUUCGGACUUCGGUCCGAUGUCAGCUUCGGACUUCGGUUCGAUGUAGGGGACAAGGUCCCAGUCAGCUUCGGACUUCGGUCCGAUGUAGGGGGCAAGGCCCCAGUUAGUCCGGACUUCGGUCCGAUGCAGUGGGCAAGGCCCAGUAUGUGCUUUAUAUGUUAUUGUAUGGUAUGUGGUAGAUUGGGGGAGCUCACUAAGCUUCGUGCUUACGGUUUUCAGUUUUGGUUUCAGGUACUCGGUUUUCAAAAGAGGAGCUCGGGAAGAUUGCAGAGCACACACCAUAGUCAGUUAGCCUGGGAAUGUUUGACUCUGAUAAUGAUAUUAUGUUUUGAAUUUAAUACUCGAAAGUUAUGUUUAACUUAUGAUAUGUUUUUAUAAAUCUAGUUUUAGUAAUGUUUUAAAAGAAAUUUUUAGUCGUGAUUUUUGGGUCGUUACAAGUUGGUAUCAGAGCCUUGGUUUGAGGGAUUCGGGCGCACUCCCGAGUGUGUCUGAACUCAAACUAAGGAAGUGGUAUAUAGUUUUCAAAAGAAAAAUCGUAGUUACAAAAGAAUUUUGAGAAAAGAAAACAAUUUUAGAAAAGUGUAAAGAAAAGAGUUUUAGAAAAAGCAAAAAGAGUUUUGAAAAGAGAAAAGGGUGUGGUGCAUGCAAUCAGCCGAGCUCAAGUAAGUACUCCCAAAUUACCCAUACAAGUUACGUUAUGAGUAUCAGUAUCAGUAUCAGUUUCAGUUUCAGUUUCAGUUUCAGCUUCAGUUUCAGUAGAACAGCAUGCUAGAAUAGGACUAAGGAUCUAGGAUGAUGCCUUAUGUGCCUGCUUUAUGUGUUUCAGCUUGAUAAGAAUUUCAUGCUAGUAUUGAGUAGACAGUAGUAGGAUAGCCUGUGUAGGUUAUGCCUGAUAGUAUGAGCUUAGCAUUGUAUGCUAGUACAGUUUCUUGUUAUGAGAAUAGUUUUGCCUGAGUAUGUUUCCUUUAUCCGAAUGCUGCUUGCUUUGUGCUUUGUGGGACUCUGAGUGAUGGGAGUUAGCCAUUAGGUGAAUACGUCACAUCACAUGUGAUCAGGGUUGAAUAAUCUCAGAGUGCUGGAUUUGGCCCUACUGCGCAGCUCUCGUUUGAGUCUAACCGUUGUAGGGACGAGACUUUUACUCGAAGGAUUAUCCGAGCCUCAUUGCAUGUGAUGGUAUUCAGGUGGUGGCUAAUUGGCAUUACAAGGAGGCCUUCAGCAGCUGAGGACUGUUUGGGUAGAGUCAGAGGUUCCCUAGGGCAAGCCUAGGAUGAGAGUAGCAGAGAUCAGUAGUAGAGAAAAGGGGACUUGGUGGAGUUGAGGUAACUCUUGAGGAAAGUACGGAUAGAUGUGGAAGGUAGUAUGGGCCCGUACUACUGAAAGCAGAGGAUCCGUACUCGAUUCAAGAGGGGCCAAGGCAAAACCAGGGAACUAGUAGAGUGUGUGAGAGAUCCCUCAGCAGUAGUGUGUAAAUUGAUCAGGAAUUGUUAUAUUUUCAGCAUGGUGACGUUGCGCGAGAUAUCAGUUGGCAGUUCAGGUGCCGGGGAGGGAUCUGGCUCAGGCUCUAGAGCCGGGCAGCUUGAGGAUCAGAUGAGGGAUUUCAUUUCCGCAGAGAUCAUGCGCAACAUCAUUGAUCAGACUCCAGUGAUUUUCGGUUCGGUUAGAGAGGCCAUUGUGGAGCUCAUGGACAGUCAUCUUGAGGCCUUUAAGGCCGGGAUAGUUUCAGGACAGAUUGGGGCUCGUCUAGACCCCGAUUCUUAUGGAGUUCAGGGAUCCAUCGGGAAAGGAGAUCCCAUUUCUAGUUUUUGCCAUCAGGGGACAGGAGUGAGUGGGGCACCCUGUCUCCAAGAGAGACCUUUGCAUGAUUGGAUAGUUGAGGAGGUUACGCGAGCCAUUCGCGAGGAUCUGCCCGACAUGGUUGUGAGGAUCACUGAUAGGUUGAUUGCGAAGCUCCAGGAUCAGACAGCUGUUGUUCAGUCGACGGGCGGUGUCGACAAGGGAACGCAUGAAUGAGAGACGGGCAGGGAAUCAGAAAGGAAGAGGAAAACGGAUGAGGCUCAGGAAGCCGCAGGUUCGGGCAAGAGGCCCAAGGGGUCGGAUUUGAGGACGAGGAACUAUCAGAGCCGCAGUCGAUGCGGGAAGUGUGGUAGGACGCACAUGGGUACAUGCAGGCGUAGAAGUGGUGGCGAUGCUGGAUGUUUCAAGUGCGGCCAGAUUGGCCAUUUUAGCAGAGAUUGUACUGUUACCAUCGCCCAGGGACUUGAUCCGAUAUGUUUCCAUUGCAGUCAGAGGGGCCACAAGAAGGCCCACUGUCCGAGUUUGUAUACAGCAGGGCAGGUGCCAGUUCCUGCCCUUGGGACUUCAAGUACCGCCAGUGGUUGCCGAGGCCGGGCAAGGGCACCCACGGCUCGGAGCCGAGUUUUCCGGUUGAUUUCAGCAAGGAUUCGAGCAGCGCUGAGUGAUGGAGGUAUGUAUCUUCUACCUCCCUGUCAAUUAUUAUUCAUGUUAUUAUUUGUUAUGUUGUUGCAUUGAUAUCAAUAAGUAUAUGUGUUGGGGGUAUUAUAUUACCUACUUGUGACGGAGUUUUAUGCCAUCUGCAUACCAUGGGAUUAGAAUGGUGAAUUGGAGGUCGUUCCCUCUAGAUCAGGUUACUUCAGAUGCGGUGACUGUAACAUGUAUGUGUAAGAUUCAGUAGUGCCUUACUACUUGCGGAAGGUGUUAGUCGGGUAAUGAUCAGUUAUAUUCUCAGUAGUGAUAAUCCAGAGUUUUUAGUGGAGUAGCUAGCGGUCAGUAAGGAAGUGGGUUGGGGAUGUGCACCCCAAACGCAGGUUCUCGGGAUGUAGUCCCUAAAGCAAAUACAGUUAAGGAUCGAAGGGUGCUCAGUCAGAUAGCAAGAAGGGUGCGGAUCUAGUAAUAGUUAGUUGGAGCGCUGGCAAGGGUAAACGUUGGCGGACAGCGUAUCGCCCUUUUAAUGGAAGGAAGGUUGGGAAUCCUUUCGACCAGUGAGCAGUAAGGAAUUAGCCGAAUCCAAGUGGGGGAGAACUCUCCGAGUAUACAUGGAUAAGAGCCACGUAGACCCAGAAUGAGUGCGCGACCUCUGAGAAGAAAAGAUAGUAGCACAGUGAUUGAUGGAUUGAGAAGUUCAGAAUUGGGAGUUCGAGGACCUUCCCAGUAGUUAGUUAAUGUAAUCGAGAUGGUUAGAAGCUGGUUGGGAAUCCAGGAAUGGAGGACCACCUGUAGGGCUCAAGUGAGUCGGAAUGAGGAUCCUGAGAACGGUUAGCAAGAGAUGCUUUCGUAUUAGUAGCCAGUGACAGAGUCAGCAUGCAGGAUUGUGUAGAUUCAGGAGUUGGGAGUUUGGAAACUUCCUAAAAAUAGCUUCUUGUACCCGGAUUAGUAGGCGGUUGGUUUGGGAACCAAGCCGAAGAAUUCGUUGACGAAGCGCUAAGUAUAUCAAGGAUAUAAUAUGUCGAGGUUGAUGCAGAAUUCAAAGACUGAGGGCUGGUUUUGAGAAAUCAGGAUGACGAAUCCCUAGCAGGACAAGGGAUUGUCAGGAUGUCCUCAGAUAGUAGUAGUAGUAGUGUUGUAAGUCUGCGGGGGUAGCCGUAGCAUUCACUUGCAGUCAGAUAGUAGUAGAGUGUUGUAAGUCUGCGGGGGUAGCCGUAACAUUCACUAGCAGCCAGAUAGUAUUAGAGAGCUGUAAGUAUGCGGGUGUAGCCGUGGCCUUUAUCAGGUUGGUAGAUAGCAUGAACGCGUUAUUGGACGCGGGCGAAAUAGUAGUACCCACCAGUUCUGGUGCAACAAUGAAGAUUUGGGAAUCCCGGGUUAGAUUUCGGAUUUCCCAAAUGGUUCAGUUAUGGUUAAGUCAGCAAUUUAGCUAUAGAUCGUCACAUCAGUUAUGAGAUCAGAGUAGCAGUGGACCGUUGGGGUUCGGGUAUGUUAAGGGCUACCGUCAGUCUGGGAGCCAUCAUGUUGUUAGUCGUGGAAUUGAUGAUGUCAGGAUGUGACGUAUGGACCCGAUCGGUUGGAUCGGAAGGUUGUUAGAGCCACAGUGACAAGAUAACUAGUGGAAACUAGUUCUAGAGAAAGAUUUCAUCCAGAAAUCGUGGGAGCGACUAAGUGAGGAGUCCUUUGACUCCACAGUUGAGUUGGAACUCAGUGUUGCAAAUAACCGACGAAUGAUUGGUAACCAGGAAGGUCUUGAGAUAAUUGGGAAGCAGUGUUUCGGGCAACUCAGUGAUUCAGGCGUAUUCAGAGUUUCAGGCAUGUUCGGUGUUUCAUGCAGUUCAGAGUUUCAGGCAUGUUCAAUUUUUCAUGCAGUUUAGAGUUUCAGGCAUGUUCAGUGUUUUAGGCAGUUCGGUGUUGCAGGCAGUUCGGUGUUUUGGAUAGUUCCAGUGUGAGGGUCAGUAUUAGUAUAGUUGGUUGAUUUGGAAAUGGCAAGUCCCUCUCAGCAUGAUCAGUUGAGCCUUCUGCCAAGUAUAAGUGAUCUGUAAGGAUAGCUAGGCAGGUAGUUUUCUUUCAGGAUGGANUUCAGGAUGGAAGGCUCGAGUUAGUAGGAAUUGAGUAGUCAAAUGAGAGAUAAGUAGGCUGGUUCCAGCAGCAUCGAUUCAGUAUGGAUGGCAGAAUGGAUAGAACAAUUAUAGGUAGUCGAAGUAUCUUCAGGAGUCGCUGGGAGCGACUAGGAGAUUGCGAUGGAGUGUAGUGACCGGUGGGAGUCCGGUAACUCAGAUAUCGGCAGAUUAGUUAGACUAGGGUGGUCUCAGUAUAUCCGGUAGGCGGAUGAGGGGUAACAGAAUUUUCAGUCGGAGGAAGUAACGUUGAGGAACUUAUGGAAAAGAGAAGAAUUCAGUAUGUAAAAACAGUAGUGACCAGCACUGUGAGUGGCUGGGGUGAUGGACAAAAGGGUGUUACUUUUCCCAGACAGAGAGUUGGAGGCAGUUCGCAGGACAGUUGGCCAUAGCAAACUUUGAGGACGAAGUUUAGUUUAAGUGGGGGAGAGUUGUAACACCCCAGAUCAGAAAGUCCAAGAAAAGGAAAGAAACCUUAAGUCAAGGAGUGGACUUGUCGAGCCCAGGGAGGAACUCGACGAGUCGGAGUGGGAUCCGGGGGAUCGAGUAAGUGACUAACUUGGCGAGUCGGCUUGUGAACUCGGCGAGUUGGGUCUGAACGAGGAAACCCUAAUUUUACUUGGCGAGUCGGCUUGUGAACUCGGCGAGUUGGGUCCGAACGAGGAAACCCUAAUUUUUGGACUUGGUACCCUAUUUAAGCAUCUUAUUCUCUUCCCUAGGGCUCAUUUGCGGCCCUUUAGUCCAGAACCAGAAACCCUAAGCCUCCAUUGUUGCUCAUUCAAGCUUUCUUGCCAUUUUGGGUGAUUUGAAGGAAGAAGGAAGAAGGCACACAUUGGGGAUUCAAGAAUUGGCAGUAGAUCUAGAGUUUGUGAGGUCUUCCAGAGCAUUUGAAGGUAAUGAGUCGUUACCUUCCCUCUUUUGCUUAUAGAUCAACCUUUAUCAUGGGAUUUGGGGAUUUUAGGACAAGUUUAUGAAACAUUUCGAGUUAGAAGCCUAGAUCUGAAGUUGCUACUUCAGAUCUAUGUGUAUCUUGGCCUAGAGAAUCAUAAAACAUCAGUCUAUGGGUUGAUUGUUGAGCCCCUUUGUCUCAAACCCUAGUUUAGAGUGAUUUGAGCCUAGAUCUCGUUAGCUACACGUAAAGUUUGCCACUUUACGUAAGGAAUAGGAUUUAUAAGAGUGGAUCUACAGUUUGGAGUCCAUGCAUGACUCAAAAUUCCUCUGCAUAUAUAUAGAUCUGAAUGGACUCGGCGAGUCCUUCGAGUGGACUCGGCGAGUAGCAUGAAGAUGAGGAGGAACUCGACGAGUGGGAUGAACAACUCGUCGAGUCGGAUGAAGUUAGGCAUGAACUCGGCGAGUUGGAAGAACAACUCGACGAGUUGGUUGAAGAUUGCCUUGGGCUCGGCGAGUCUACUAUUGGACUCGGCAAGUCAGGUCGUGAAACCCCCAACCCUUCGAGUUGAGACUCGAAUCAGUGAGUCGGAUGGUGACUUAGCGAGUUGGACAGGACAGGACACGGAAAUAGUUGGACUCGGCGAGUCGAGUCGCGAAUAGAAAGACCCUGAGCAUAUGAACUCGGUGAGUCAUUAGGAGGACUCGGCGAGUAGGGUUGACCUGGAAGGUUGACUUUGACCAGGAUUUUGACCUUGACCAGAGUUGACUUAGUUGACUUUUAGAGGACUGUCAGACUAAGUGUCAUAUUGAUAUUGAUAGCUCGGAGAGCUAGAGGAGCAGCGGCUCAGGGGAUUGUCGAGUAGCAGCCAGAGGAUUAUCAGCAGAGCUCAGCAGUUCAGGUGAGUUUCCUUCCAGUAGGAACGGGUCUAAGGCCACAAUGCCGGCCCGUUUAGCUAGCAGUAGUUUCCGGAUUUUAGUCCGAUGCAGUAGUUAGUAUGUUUGAUGCCUUCGUGGCUCAGACAGGAUUUAUGUGUUAUGUGUUCCGGGCUACGGCCCGAUGCAGUAUGCAGUAUAUGUGUGUUCAUGCUAGUUGAUAUGUUUAUGUUAUGUGAUGUUCAGUUAGUUCCGGACUUCGGUCCGAUGCAGGGGGCAAGGCCCCAGUUAGUCCGGACUUCGGUCCGAUGCAGGGGACAAGGUCCCAGUCAGUUAGUCCGGACUUCAGUCCGAGGCAGGGGGCAAGGCCCCAGUUAGUCCGGACUUCAGUCCGAUGCAGGGGACAAGGUCCCAGUUAGUUUCCGGACUUCGGUCCGAUGCAGGGGGCAAGGCCCCAGUUAGUCCGGACCUCGGUCUGAUGCAGUGGGCAAGGCCCAGUAUGUGUUUUAUAUGUUAUUGUACGGUAUGUGGUAGUUUGGGGGAGCUCACUAAGCUUCGUGCUUACGGUUUUCAGUUUUGGUUUCAGGUACUCAGUUUUCAAAAGAGGAGCUCGGAGAGAUUGCAGUGCACACACCAUAGUCAGUUAGCCUGGGAAAUGUUUUACUCUGAUAAUGAGAUUAUGUUUUGAAUCUAAUACUCGAAAGUUAUGUUAUGACUUAUGAUACGUUUUUAUAAAUAUGGUUUUAGUAAUGUUUUUAAAAGAAAUUUUUAGUUAUGAUUUUUGGGUCGUUACAAGUAAGAUGGUUGUUAUUCCGACCCUAGUGGUCAUAUCAAAUUGAGUCCGACUACGAUGAGAGGUCAUCAGGACACGACCCAUCGGUCUGUUACAAUAGAUAAAGGAAAGUAUUUAUCCUAAGAAGAAGAAGGAGUCCACAAUAAGGACUUAUUUGGUAACUCUGAAGUUAUGAUUGGAAGUACAUCAUAGUGCGAAAAGUAGAUGGAAGAUUUGGGCAUCGUCUGUAGUCAGAAAGCCAUNNNNNNNNNNNNNNNNNNNNNNNNNNNNNNNNNNNNNNNNNNNNNNNNNNNNNNNNNNNNNNNNNNNNNNNNNNNNNNNNNNNNNNNNNNNNNNNNNNNNNNNNNNNNNNNNNNNNNNNNNNNGAGGGGGGGGGGGGGUAAUUGUAACGCCCGUAGAUCAGGGCUAGUCAAUUUAGAGACGAUAAGUGUCAAAAAUGACUUUCUGAUGAAAGAUUAUUUAGAAUGAUUAAUCUUAAUUAAGUUAUAUUAUAUGUUACAAGGAUUCCCUACAUAUAAAGAACGCCAAAAUCCGAGUUAUAACGAAGAAGUUAUGACCUGUCGAAGUUUCGCGACAAAACCGGCACGACAUAGCGCGACGUAAAAAGUGAAUUUACGUUAGAGCGAUAUUUAGCCUUAGCAAUCUAAACAAAAGUCGUAGAAUACGUUAAAACCGUGAGCGUGCAUAAAAAGAACGUCCAAAUCUGACUUCAUAUGAGGAAGUUAUGAUUUUUCUAAGUUUCGACUUAGCGGUAUGCAGCCCGAAUACUCGAUUUGAGAUCGAGCGGUUUUUAGCUGAAACAAUCUAAACGAGAAUCGAAGAUCUCGUUAAUAGUAUUGAAACGAUAAAAAGAUAGGUGAAAACGGACGUCAGAUGAAGAAGUUAUGGAUUUAUAACGGAGUUUUCCUGUCCCGGCCUACUAAAAUAAUGUAAUAAAAAUAAAUUCAAAAUUAGCCGACGGAGUCUAAACGAAAGUUGUAGAGCAUAGUCUCACCUACACGUGGAUAUAAAGAACGUUGAAAACGGAGUUCGUAUGAGGAACAUAUCAAUUUUUGAACUUUAUUAAAUAAUAAAGUAUUUAAUUUAAUUAUAAAAUCCGAUAUUAUCUAAGGGGGGAGUCACCGGGCUUAUCCAGGUUACGCCCAGCGUAACCUAAGAUUACGCCCAGCGUAAUUUGGGUUUCGGCCCCCUAUAAAAGGAAGUCAAGGGCAGCCGAGUUCUUUGCUCAUUUCUUCCCUUUCUCUCGCGUUUUUGCAUCGUUUUUCGUGCAAGAAAUAUCCCGAAGCCCCGGUAUCAUUCCCGAGCCCCGAAGCAAGUCCCGAGGCCCCGAAGAUCCUGAGAAGUGAAAUUCCCGAGCCUAAGCUCUGCUCGCGAGGAUCCCGGUUUUUGUGAAGAUCANUCUUCUGAUCAAGUGAGUGUAUAGUUACUUUCUUCUAACACAUAAAUAUAAAGUAUUAGCUAUGAAAUACGUGCUAUGUGUUAUAUAUUAUUUUUCUAUUUGAGAUGGGCUUGGAAUUGAUGUUUUUAUACGGGUGUUAAAUGAUUUAAACUGUAUAUGUAUUUUAUAUCUACAAAAUAUGUUCGGUAGAACAUGGGUGGAUGAAAUAGUGGCGACUAUGAGACGUAGUGCUUAUUGAGUAAAGCCUUGGUGACGAUGCGACUUCGUGCCUAUUUGAUAAACCUUGGUGACGAUGUGACUUCAUGCCUAUUGAGUAAACCCUGGCGACUAUGUGACUUAGUGCCUAUUGAUAAACCUUGGUGACGAUGUGACUUCGUGCCUAUUGUAUAAACGUUGGCGACUAUGGAGUUAGCGCUUAUUGAGUAAACCUUGGUGACUAUGGAGUUAGCGCCUGAUAGCUAUGGAUUUAGUAUCUGAUAGGUAAACUUUGGCAGCAAUGAACUUCGUGCCAAUUCCUUAGGAAUGAAUGAAGGAUAGUGGAUUCGUAGGGUAAACCCUUGAGAAAAUAAAGGAGAUAUGGGGAUGGGUAUUUGGGUUGAUUGUUUGAUAAUUGAAUAUAAUAAAUGUAUUAUUGUGGGUUGAAAACCCUAUAUGCUCACCAGGCUCCCAAGCCAGACCCACUCAAUUUUCUUUGCAUUACAGGUAAUGACACAAGGGUAUAAGUUGGUGGACUUGACGAGAGAUUUUGGAUUAUAGAUCAGUAGUUAUAAAUAACUGUUGUAAGGUUUAUUUUAUAUUGUUUAUGCUUUUGGUCUGUAUCGAACAUGACAUCCCGAGGUUUUAUUAUUUAAUGAAAAUACAUUCUCUUUGAUAAAUGUUUUGAUAAAGGGUUAUCAUAUUUUUGUUUUUGGGAACAAAUUCCGCAACAGCUUUCUUUAAACGAUUACUCUGAUUUUAAAAAUAAAGCAUAAACAAAUCGGUCUUUUUUGGCCGUGAAAUUGGGUAUGUCACACAUGUCCUUCUAAAAUUAUCCAAUCACAGCAAUAUGUAAUCUAACACAUUCAUCCACUAAUUAGCUAGUAUCAACAUAAAUUCCUAAAGCACAAAGUAUGUAUCAUUUGAGCAUCAACCAAUGUAACUCAAAACAUACCCUAUACAGGUCAUUCUUAAUAGGUAACUGAUCUAAUACUAGCAUGUAAAUCUUAAAGCUCAUACAGAUAAACACAUAAAGGCAUAUCUUUUAGCAUUCUUUCAUGCAAUUCUGAGCAGAUCCUUACCCCUUAAUCUAGCAUGCAAUUCUCAUAUCAUAGCACAAGACCAUAUAACUUGUAUGUGGUAUUUUGGGAAGACUUACUUGAGCUUGGAUGAUUGCACACAUCACACCCCUUUAUUUUUAUUAAAAUCCUCAUAUUAAAAUUUUUCUUUUCAUUUAAAAUCUACCAAACCCUCAAUUUGACUCCAGACGCACCCGAGAGUAUGCUCGAAUCCCUCAAACCAAAGCUCUGAUACCAACUUAUAACAUGCCAAAAAUACGGAUAAAAUUUUGUUCUUAAAUUCAUUCAAACCAUACGAUACUAACAUCAAAUUAGUCAAAAGAGUAUCAUACAAAUUCCUAAAAUCUCUAAAUGUGAAAACCAUAGGGUGAUGCGGUGUGAUUAGGCCUGACCCUUUCGCUUCGAACUAGAAGUACCUAAAACAUAAACUGAAAACUAUAAGAACAAACCUUAGUGAGUUCCCCCAAAAUACCACAUACUAAACAAACAUACUACCAAGCAUAUCUAGGUUCUUUCCUACCCUUUUCGAUCUAUUGUAACCAAGUACUAUUAAGCAUAUAUGGGUGCUUGCCUACCCUUUCUUUAACGCCUGCGGAUUCAGACUAGUCAAUUUAGAAGCAAUAACCAUAAAAAAAUGAAUUUUGGAUAGAAGAUUAUUUAGAAUAAUAAUCUUAACUAAUUUUUAGUAUAUAUCACAAGGAUUCCGUACAUAUAAAGAAUGCUGAAAUCCGAGUUAUAAUGAAGAAGUUAUGACUUAUCGAAGUUUCGUGACAAAACCGGCACGACACCGGGAAUCAUAAAAAGUAAGUUUACGAUAAAUUACUUUUUAGCCUUAGGGGUCUAAAUGAAAGUUGUAUAUUACGUCUCCAUCUUUGUGUGGAUAUAAAUAACGUCAAAAACGGAGUCGUAUGCAAAAGUUAUGACCUUCCGAAGAUAUAGUUGUCUGAGAGCAAGACAUGUGUCAUAAAUCCUAAUCUGACUGGCUCACGACGUAAGGAAUCAAACGGACACUAAUCGAGGCUCAAAAACACUUGGGAAGGCUAUGGACACCUUUCGGAUAUAUGAACGCAGAUGGUGAAGCUACGAGGUGAUACAACUAUGGCUCACGACGUGAAAGACAAAAAAUCAGCCUAUAAAUAGCAAGUUCGACCCUUGCUCUUCUUACACCUAAAACUUCUUUCUCUCUCUCGUUUGUUGAAGGCAUUCUGCGUCCCGAGCCCGACGAUCACGAACUGCUGACCUUUUCUAGUUAGAUUCUAUCGAAUCGCGCUGCUAAUGUGAGUGCAUAGUUACUUUCAUCUUAUGCAUAGAUAUGAAGUAUUUAAUAUAAAUUACAUGUGAUGUGUGCAUAUUAUAUGUGUUCCUGAUAUCUAUGUUAUAUGAACGAUUUAUACAUGUUUACGUGAUUUAAACUGUAUACGUAUUUUUAUACUUAUAAAUAUAUAUUGGGUAGCACCGGGUCAUGAGAGAUAGGUGAUGAUAAAAAGGCGAUGAUAAUUAAGUCAUGAGAGAUAGGUGAUUAUAGAAAGGUGAUGAUAGAUAAGUGAUGUUUGAAAGGUGAUUAGAGAUAGGUGAUGAUAUAAAUGUGAUGAUAAUUAGGUGAUGAUAAAUAGGUGAUUUGAGAUGAGAGGAGAUACCAUAACCUUGACUGGCGAUAUGGCAAUGUAGUCAUCUACCAGAGUAUAGAUGGCGACCACUGACUAUUCUAGAAAGUCAUGUGGAAACACCAACAGACUCAUAACCUGUAGGUGAUGAAUUAUGAGCUCAGACGAUGUUGUAACUACGUAUUCAUUCAAUGAUACUCUAAUCUCUACUAUGAAUUAUGAGUUCAGGGGACGUUGUAACUAUGUAUUCAUGCGAUGAUAAAUCUUUAUGGAAGAUUAAAUGAAGCUAAUGGGCAUGGGUAAUUGGGUUAAUUGUUUGAUGAUUAAACAUAAUAAUUAUAUUAUUGUGGGUUGAAAACCCUAUGUACUCACCAGGUUUCGCAACCUAACCCACUCAGUUUAUUUGAAUCACAGGUAUCGAUACGAAGCUACACUAAACCGAGAGAUUAAAAGAGAUGUAGAUCACUAGUGUAAAUAAUAGUAAGAUCUGUGUAUGCUUAUUUUUUUUGUAUUGACGAUGACACCCCAAUGUUUAAAAAUAAUUAAAAUAUAUUUCUUAGGAAGUGCUUUGAUAACAUAUUAAUCAUGUUAUUCUGGGAACAAAUUCCGUAAUAUUAUUCUUUAAAAUGAAUACUCUGAUUUUCAAAUAAGCAUAAAUAAAAUUUUUAAAAUGACCUUGAAUUUGGGAAUGUCACACCUUCAGUCUAUUUCAAGAAAAUACUAUCAAACAUAUUUGGGUGCUUGCAAUCCCAUUCGGUCUAUUUAAACCAGAUAUCGAGUCUAUUUCAUCCCAUACUACUACCAGGUAAUAUCAUAACAUAAAUCAUAGAGUCAUCAAGCAAAUACAUGUAUAACUAACAGUUCUCACAAAGACAAUUAUCACACUACAUCAUAAACUAGUGGGCCGACAUUGGUGCCUUCGACCCACGAAUACUACAAAGGAAGACUUACCUCAGAAUGUAGGUAUCAAAUCGCCCACAGUGGAUGAAUUGCAAAAUCCUCUCCCUAUCGCACAAGCAUAAAACCCUAAUUAGAAAUUAGGCCACAUUCUAACUCGAAUGUCCAAAACCCAAAUUCUUGACUUAAGGAAAAAAGUCUUGUUUACCCUUGCCUCAAUGGACCACCCUUCCACAAAUCCCCAAACCCAUCAAAAGCCCAAAAAGGCAUCCAAGCCCAACAACAAGGCCUCUAAGUUCCAAUAUGGCCCAAGAACACCUAACAUGGCCUUAGGCCCAAAAAUGACCUGCUACAAUCAAGUGCGCAUGGGGCCCAACUUAAACAAGUCCAAAGCUAAACAAUAAUCGAUCCUAAAACUUAUCUAAGCCCACAAACUGCAUAUGCACGGCACACACGGCUCGUAUGCCUAGCGUAUGCAGAUGUCCAUCCGGAGUCGGGACACUGACACAGUACACACAACUUACUCUAGAGUACGCACAGCGUACUGGCCAGUCAACCAAUUUUCAUUCCCAAGUCUUAAUCCAUUCAGUCGUUACGUCUAAAUCUUAGACGCAAACUUAAAAUAACAUCUGAAGCCAUAAAGUUACAAACUUUGUGCAUUUGCAUGCAUGGAUGGGGCUCAAACCGUGAAAAAAGUCCAUUUACUCACCUGGAUGGUCACUAACACUUGCAUGGGUCCAAAAAGACAACUCAAAAGGCUUGGAGUUACUUAUACUCCAAGAAACCAAGCUAUGGGACGAAAAGAUGCCGUAUUCUACCCUAAACCUAGAUCAAAGCUUGGAAUGAUCAAGGAUCAGACUUUAUACCUUCAAGAUACAAGAAAAGGUGCACAAACUCUGGAUCUUCAAUCUCCUUCUUCUCCUUUUCUCUUUCCAAGCUUCCUCAUUCUUUAAAACCAGCAAAGAUCGCCUAAAUACUCAAGGUAAGCUUAAUAUGCACUAAAAAACGGCUAGGGUUUCGAAGUUGACACUAAAAGAGGUAAUGGGGCUGAUAAGGUAAGAAGGGUGAAGGAUUAGGAUGCUUAAAUAGGGUGCAAACCCUAAAAUUUAGGGUUCGCCAAUGGCUUGAGUACACCCUACAUUCGCAUGGGUAUACCUAGCGUACGUCAGGGUCACCCUAAUGACACGCAUGAAACGAGUACGACGUGCAUACCAAAUGUACGCUCAACGUGCUCACUACUGUCCGUCACCUUUAAGUUAAAUCAUUACUCAUACCUAGAGACUCGGGUGUUACAUCGUACAUACAUCUUCUCAACUACAUCAGAGUUUGUUUGUUUGGAUUUAAACAAAGAACCUGAAAGACACCACUAUUCGUACGAGAUUGACUGAUAUGAUGAACCACCGAGCCAUGUUCCAUUUCAAAUGGAAAGUAUUCCAAAUAUAUUUCAUGAUUACAUCAACGAUGUACAUGUUGGAUUAGUGUCUAAGUCCAUAACUAUUUUUGGUAUGUACUUGACCCGAUGGUGCAUGAUCCUUUUGGGUUGCCUUCACCAAAGCAACUUGAUAGGAUGAAUUAUGGAGUGAGAGAGGAUUAAUUAUGAUUUAUUAAUAUAUUAUGAGAAUAAUAUAUUAAAGGAGAAAUCAUAUUGUGUAAUUAAUAUUAGUCAAGAAUUAAUUGAUAAUUAAUUUUGUGGCUAAAAGAGAUUAAUUAAACUUAAGGGACUGGAACUGUAAUUAUAAGAUAAUUGCAUUUUGGCUAUCGAUCACCUUGGAAUAAUAGGUUGGACGAAUUCUAUGGGGAAACCCAUUAGAAAUCGUCCAAGAGAUAUUCUAAAAGGGUCCAUGGACUGCUUAGGGCUUAGGCAGUCAGAUUAGGGUUUCCUAGUUGAAAACCCUAAUAGCCUACAUGUAUAUAUAGUACCCUUACGCCUCAAAAACGUGGUGAAGAGUUUCUCUAGGGUUUUGGACGUUCUUGGGUAGCCUCCUCUCUUCUCAUUUUUCAUCCUCUUGCUCUUGGUGUUUGUGAGCCAUUAGAGGAGUGACACUUGUGACUCUAAGCUUUCUAAAGCCAUUACAAGGAGGAUUUGAGAUUGUUAUUGCUACAUAACAAUCAAGGUAAGAUCUAAAUCUCAUUCUUAUGUUAAUAUGAUUAAUUGUAUGCUAGAAUUAGGGUUUAAAGUCUUGGAUGAAUUACAUGUACAAUAUAGAAACCUAGAUCCAAGCAUUAGGGUUUGCAUGAGCACAUAGGAUGUUCUUAUGGCCAAAAACCAUAAGUGGUAUCAGAGCCUUGAUUGGUUUCUAUUGUAUUGAUGCCUUGGUUAUUUGUUCAAGCUUCAAAAUUGAUAUUUUCGCUCCCUGCCUGAUGAACUUGGCGAGUUCCAAUGUGGACUCGGCGAGUUCGAGCGUCAGAAGGAGGCAGUUUCGGGAUUUCUUGCUGUUUUGCGUGAGGAUACUUGCCUUAAUUGUUUUGGGUCUUUAAUAUUCGAAUUUUAUCUUAUAUUUGAGUAUAUCCUUGUUAAACAAAAGAUAUUUACCAAUUGAUUAGAUAAUAACUUCCUUAUAUGAUUAAAGAUUGAUUAUUUGUAUUAAUUGGGUAACUUAUCUUGCAAGAAAUUGAAAUUAGGUCAAAUUUAGAUAAUCAUUAAAUUAAUUGUUUAAUUUAAAUUAUUUUCUAUUUAAUCCUUGAUGUUUUGAAAUGUUUCAAAACUUGCCCUCAAGUUUUGGAAUUUAAAAGUUGGUUAAAAGGUUUAAUUUAGAAAUGUUAAAUUCUAAAACACUAGUAUUGUUUUGAAAAGUUAGAAUCACACCCUUAUGGUUUUAUUAAUUAAUUAAGGUGUAUAAUUAAAAGAGAUUUAAUAAACCCAUAAAGUUUUGGUUUACAUUUAAUUAAAUUAAAAGUAUAAUUUACCAAAUUAAACCACCUAGUAUUUUAAAAGUGUAAAAUACACCCUAUACUAUAUAUAACAUUAAAAGUCUAACAUUAUAUAUGUAUGAGUAAACAGUCAGUCUUACCGUUAGUAGGCCUCAUUCACGAAGCUGGUCUAUAAGGGGUGUUUAAGGAAAUUGCCUAUAAAAUGGCGAUUGAAUGGGUAUCCACUCUUACCCACCGCACUCUUGACUAGUGGAGGGUCGUUAGCCGAACGGGUAGGAUAGGAUAUAAACCUUCCAUUAUAAGUAUAAUAAAGUACAAAAGUAACUAAAUGUUUUUACAAAAUUCCCAAUCUUAGUUACCUUAGGCAAAAGUGAAUUGAUGCAAUUCCAUGAAAUUACACUUUGUGCCCUUGCAAAGACAUUAGUGGAGCGUGUGUGGUUAACCGGCACACUAAAUGGUUCUAAGCAAAGGUAGCAAAGGGUGACUCAAUGUUUGUCAUAGUUCGGUGGAGCGUGUGUGGUUAACCGACACAUCGAAUAGGUGACUGUAACAUGUGGGGGCACCAUGUAAGUUUGCAUGGUUAUUCACACCCUGUUUUGUGAUCCUCGGCAUCCCAGUCACAAAUCGAGGGGCAUAUUGAGAUUUAAACAUGCCAUUGAAAAGUUCA